rnacentral:misc_RNA from 1 species
GAAUCCAAAAAUUUCUGAUUUUGGCAUUGCAAGAAUAUUCAUAGGGGAUGAAGCUCAAGACCAGACUAAACGAAUUGUGGGAACAUACGGCUAUAUGGCACCAGAGUACGUGGUGUUUGGGAAAUUUUCAACAAAAUCAGAUGUCUUCAGUUUUGGGGUUAUAUUGUUGGAGAUUUUAUGUGGUAAGAAGAACAGUUCUUGUUAUAUGGAGGAUCUUUCCCUGAAUCUGAUAGGGCAUGUUUGGGAGUUAUGGAGACGAGAAAGAGCUUUGGACAUAGUUGAUUCAUGUCUGAAAGAGUCGUCUCUGCCUCUUGAAGUAAUGAGAUGCAUUCAAAUCGGGCUAUUGUGUGUGCAA